UUGAGAUGUAAAAUUUGAUUAUUAGAUAAUUUACUUGAGUAUUACGAGUUGUGAAAAUAUUAAUUUACACAAGAAUCUUAAAACUCAAAAGACUUGGCGGUAUCUUAGGUCCUUCUAGGGGAACCUGUCCUGUAAUCGAUAGUCCACGAUUUAUCUUUCCUUUCCUUGAAAAUAUUCAGCUUGUAUACCGUCGUCGUCAGAUUACCUUUAAGAGUUAAAUAAGUUAUCAGGAAGAAUAUUAUUAUUUAGUGUUUGCUUUAGCUUUGUUAGCUAAAGUUAAUGUAAGAGUAAUUUUCUAGAUGUCAGAUCAAGGUGCAGCCCAUGGAAAGGUAGAGAUGGGUUACAAUAAUUAUUUAUUAUUUACGGAUUUCUUAUUGAAAUUAUAAGAACUAAAGGCGGACUUAGAAGUAAUUAAUAAGAGAAAUAGAAAGUUUCGGUGAAAAUGGCACUAAGAUGUG
rnacentral:rRNA from 1 species